GGAAAAUGCCGAGGGUGUCGAUC
rnacentral:siRNA from 1 species